UACGGAGGGUGCAAGCGUUAUCCGGAAUGAUUGGGCGUAAAGCGUCCGCAGGUGGCUGUGUAAGUCUGCUGUCAAAGAGCAAAGCUCAACUUUGUAAAGGCAGUGGAAACUACACGGCUAGAGUGCGUUCGGGGCAGAGGGAAUUCCUGGUGUAGCGGUGAAAUGCGUAGAGAUCAGGAAGAACACCGGUGGCGAAAGCGCUCUGCUAGGCCGCAACUGACACUGAGGGACGAAAGCUAGGGGAGCGAAUGGG
rnacentral:rRNA from 1 species